AUGGCGGAGGAGGACGACGACCAGCGCCUGCUGCACAGCCUCGGCGUCACCUCCGCCAACAUCGACGACAUCGAGAGGAAGAUCCUGUCGCAGGCGAAAACCGACCCGAAGAAGGGCGACGCCGAGACGCCGGGGCCGACCGCCACCGGUGACCAGGAGAGUAGCCUGACAACGCCUCAAGAUGAUGCUCAGGCCAAACUGCACCAGAAACUGCGCUCCGUGCAGCUUGAGAUCGACGCUGUGGCUUCCACGCUCGGAGGGGCUAAACAAGCUGCUGGAAAGAAAAGCGGCGGCGGUGGCUCGGGUUGCGCUGAUGCUGAGGAUAAGAAGAAGAAGAAGAAGGAGAAGGUGAAGGAGGAGGAGAAUGCUGAUGAAGACGCCCCUCGUGGAGGAGCCCUCCAGCAGGCGCUUGCCGCUGAGCGGCUCAGGAGCCUCAAGAGGGCUAAGGUGCAGAUUCAGCGAGAGAUAUUGCAGUCGGGACCUGGCCCGUCCGGGUCGGGCAACCAAAAAGACAAGAUGCUGGCAAUGCUGGUCGAAGACGAGCCGAGGCGGAAGAAGUCACUGAAGCCGCCUGGUGGGCCUAAGAAGAAGUCGCCGACGCGUCGGUUGAAAACCGUCACCUACGAUGAUGACGACGACUUCGACACAGUGCUCGAUGGAGCUUCUGCGGGGUUCAUGGAGACUGAAAGGGAAGAGCUGAUAAGGAAGGGUUUGCUGACACCGUUUCACAAGUUGAAGGGCUUUGAGAAGCGCGUUGAGCGCCCUGGAACUUCUAGCAGGCAAAAUGGCUCUGCAGAACAAGCCGAGGAAACCAUGGAAGCUUCCAGCAUUGCUAAAGUUGCUCAGGCAAUGCAGAACAUGGCACAAAGCCGCCCAACUACCAAAUUGCUUGAUGCGGAGUUCUUGCCUAAGCUGGAAGCACCGACUGCUCCGUUUCAAAGGCUUGGAGUACCUCUAAAACGCCAUGGCCUUCCCAGUUCAGAUGAGCGGAAAAACAAAAGGCUAAAGAGUAAGACCAAGAGACCGUUGCCUGGCAAGAAAUGGAUGAAAGCCAAUUCAAAGAAGGAGACAUUAUUGGAUGUUGCAGAUGAGGAUGUGGGAGAUGCAGCCGCAUCAGCUUCUGUGUCUGAGAAUGAAGAUGAGGUAAUAGAAGGUUCUGAUGGGUUACCUCCAGUCAUCCUUGAAGGUGGUUUAAGAAUUCCUGGCUCAGUUUACACACAGCUGUUUGACUACCAAAAAGUGGGAGUGCAGUGGUUAUGGGAGUUACAUUGUCAAAGGGCUGGUGGAAUAAUUGGCGAUGAAAUGGGCUUAGGAAAGACCGUGCAGGUCUUAUCAUUUCUUGGUGCUUUGCAUGACAGUGGUAUGUACAAGCCUAGUAUUGUUAUCUGUCCUGUGACCCUUUUGCAACAGUGGCGAAGGGAGGCCAGUAAGUGGUAUCCAAAAUUCAAAGUUGAGAUCUUACAUGAUUCUGCAAACAGUUCAAGUAAAAAGGGCAAGAGAUACAGUGAUUCUGAGAGUGAUGUUUCUUGGGAUAGCGACCAGGAAGAGGUUACACGUAUGAAGCCUGCACAAAAGUGGGAUGACUUGAUUUCACGUGUUGUAAAUUCAGGGUCAGGUUUGCUUCUGACUACAUACGAGCAGCUAAGAAUCAUACGGGAGAAGUUGCUUGAUGUAGAAUGGGGAUAUGCUGUAUUGGAUGAGGGUCACCGCAUAAGGAAUCCUAAUGCCGAAGUAACUCUCGUGUGCAAGCAAUUGCAGACUGUGCACAGGAUAAUUAUGACAGGGGCGCCUAUCCAGAAUAAACUUUCGGAACUGUGGUCUCUCUUUGAUUUUGUGUUCCCUGGGAAAUUAGGAGUCCUUCCAGUGUUUGAGACCGAGUUCUCAGUUCCAAUUACUGUCGGUGGGUAUGCUAAUGCAACACCAUUGCAAGUGUCCACAGCGUACAGAUGUGCUGUUGUCCUGCGUGACUUGAUCAUGCCAUAUCUUCUUAGGAGAAUGAAAGCUGAUGUCAAUGCACAGCUUCCCAAGAAAACAGAGCAGGUUCUUUUCUGUAGUUUAACUCAAGAGCAACGUGCUACUUAUCGUGCAUUCCUUGCUAGUUCAGAGGUGGAGCAAAUAUUUGAUGGUAACAGAAACUCCCUUUACGGGAUAGAUGUCCUAAGGAAGAUAUGUAAUCAUCCUGAUCUUCUUGAGAGAGAACAAGCCGCUCAGAAUCCUGACUAUGGGAAUAUUGAAAGAAGUGGGAAGAUGAAAGUGGUUGAGCAAGUACUUAAAGUCUGGAAAGAUCAAGGCCAUCGUGUUCUUCUUUUUGCUCAGACCCAACAGAUGCUUGACAUUUUGGAAAACUUCUUGACUGCCCGCGACUACCAAUAUCGAAGAAUGGAUGGACUUACACCUCCAAAGCAAAGAAUGGCACUCAUUGAUGAGUUCAAUAAUACAGAUGAAAUUUUCAUUUUCAUUCUGACAACAAAAGUUGGUGGAUUGGGUACGAAUUUGACUGGUGCAAACAGGGUUAUAAUAUUCGAUCCUGACUGGAACCCUUCGACAGACAUGCAGGCCAGGGAACGAGCAUGGCGAAUUGGGCAAAAAAGAGAUGUGACAGUUUACAGGUUGAUCACACGUGGGACGAUAGAGGAGAAAGUCUACCAUCGACAGAUAUACAAGCAUUUUCUCACAAACAAAGUACUGAAAAACCCUCAGCAAAGGAGGUUCUUUAAAGCCAGAGACAUGAAAGAUUUAUUCACAUUGCAAGAUGAUGACAAGAAUGGUUCAACUGAAACAUCAAACAUUUUUGGCCAACUGUCUGAAGAUGUGAACAUUGGUGCUCCAGAUGGCGAGGAGCGAGGCGAGCGAUCUUCAGCUUUACCGACCAGCGCAGAGGCUGAACCAUCUGUUGAUGGAGAUGGGAAAUCAGACCUUAGAUCUGACCAAGCGGAUGAAGAAUCCAACAUUUUGAAGAGUCUUUUUGAUGGCCAGGGCGUUCAUAGUGCUAUAAAUCAUGAUGCCAUAAUGAGUGCUAACGACGAUCAGAAGCUGCGGCUAGAAGCAGAGGCUUCACAGGUGGCACAAAGGGCAGCCGAGGCUUUACGCCAAUCACGGAUGCUCAGAAGCCGUGAUGAUUUUGCUGUUCCCACAUGGACAGGAAGAGCUGGUGCUGCCGGGGCACCAACCUCUGUCCGCAGGAAAUUUGGGUCAACACUCAACACCCAGCUGGUCAGUUCUUCGCAGCCAUCAGAAGGUUCAAGCAGCAGCAGCAGGGUUCAAAGUCUUCAGGUGGGCGCUCUACAUGGCAAAGCACUGUCCUCCGCCGAGCUUUUGGCUAAGAUGCGUGGAACGCGAGAGGGGGCAGCUUCAGAUGCACUGGAACAUCAACUCAGCCUGGGCUCCACUUCCAACCAGAGACCAGGCUCGACAGAGAACGGACGCACAUCUAACUCUUCUUCUAGCAGGAACAUGAUUGUGCAGCCUGAGGUCCUGAUCCGCCAGUUGUGCACCUUCAUACAACAGAAUGGUGGCUCCGCCAGCUCGACGAGCUUGACGGAACAUUUCAAGAACCGCAUACAGCCCAAGGAUAUGCUGGUGUUCAAGAACCUGCUGAAGGAGAUAGCAACCUUGCAAAGGGGCGCAGGCGGCGCGACGUGGGUGCUGAAACCCGAGUACGGGUAA
rnacentral:rRNA from 1 species